rnacentral:tRNA from 2 species
AGCCCGAUGGUGUAAUUGGUAACACAACUGGUUUUGGUCCAGUCAUUCAAGGUUCAAGUCCUUGUCGGGCUGCCA